rnacentral:rRNA from 1 species
UACGAAGGGGGCUAGCGUUGCUCGGAAUCACUGGGCGUAAAGCGCACGUAGGCGGAUUGCUAAGUCAGGGGUGAAAUCCUGGAGCUCAACUCCAGAACUGCCUUUGAUACUGGCGAUCUCGAGUCCGGGAGAGGAGAGUGGAACUGCGAGUGUAGAGGUGAAAUUCGUAGAUAUUCGCAAGAACACCAGUGGCGAAGGCGGCUCACUGGCCCGGUACUGACGCUGAGGCACGAAAGCGUGGGGAGCAAACAGG